UACGUAGGGGGCAAGCGUUGUCCGGAUUUAUUGGGCGUAAAGAGCGUGUAGGCGGCCACACAGGUCAGCUGUGAAAACUCGAGGCUCAACCUCGAGACGUCGGUUGAAACCGUAUGGCUAGAGUCCGGAAGAGGAGAGUGGAAUUCCCGGUGUAGCGGUGAAAUGCGCAGAUAUCGGGAAGAACACCCGUGGCGAAGGUGGCUCUCUGGGACGGUACUGACGCUGAGACGCGAAAGCGUGGGGAGCGAACAGG
rnacentral:rRNA from 1 species